rnacentral:lncRNA from 1 species
GCUGGGCUGCGUGCGUCUCCGGGAGGGACCAUUCCACAGCGGGGGGGGGUUGGAGGGCCAACUGCACAGUGCUGGAGAGUGAGGAGGGUGGGAGGGAUGGCACCGCUUUGCUCACCCAGUCUAAGGGCCCACUUUUGAUGCCAAGGGUGCGGGGCAGCCCUUUGUUAAGAGAGAAAUGAUGGAAUGGGCUGUUGCUGAGGCCUUGCAAAUACAGGGCCGAGGGCCUGAAGGAUGGGUAGCGACGAAUUGAGCCAUUUCGAGAGGAAGCGGCGGGAGGAUCAGGAGAGGAGUCCCGGCCUGAUGAAGCCUGUUCCUCUCGGUGCAAAGACCCGUGACACGUGCGAGAGGUUGGGCGGCCCAAAGAUCGGACUCGAGUCCCGUGGACGAGCGGCAGGAGAGAUCAUCCUCCGGUUGGGGGAUGGCUGCGUCCCAGGCAGAAAUGAUUAUUCCCCCCCAGGCUUCAGGGCUCAAGCCCAGAUCAUCGGCAUUGCCGUGAUACAAAGUGCUACCAGAGGCAACGGUGAAAAGGAAGGAAGAAGAUGCCAGACCCGGGAAAAUCAGGGCUGUGACUGCGACGGACACUUGAGCCCUGUGGGAGUGCAAGGCCACUGCAGCAGUAGUCAAAAUAAAGUCACACUCUGGCAGACUGAGAGAAAUACAUCAUGGAAGAUAAAAGGAGAAUAUUUGGAAUCCUUUUAA